UACGUAGGGUGCAAACGUUGUCCGGAUUUACUGGGCGUAAAGAGUAUGUAGGUGGUCCUAUAAGUGAGUGAUUAAAGACCAACGCUUAACGUUGGAACUGUUACUCAUACUGUAGGACUGGAGGAUGGCAGGGGUGCAUGGAACUUUGAGUGUAGGAGUGAUAUCCGUAGAUAUUCAAAGGAACACCAAUGGCGAAGGCAGUGCACUGGGCCAUAUCUGACACUGAGAUACGAAAGUGUGGGGAGCAAACGGG
rnacentral:rRNA from 1 species